GUGUCCCAUGUAGUUGUGUCAUAUCAAUAGUAGUAAUGAGCACCAGUGUGUCCAAUUUUGCCAUACACUUGACAUAUUGGUAUGGAGUGUCGCCGCUUCUUCUCCUCUUUUGAUGUUAUAGCAACUUUCUCUGUUGAAAUUAUUUUUUCGUCAUCCUCCUCUAUUAGGUGAUUGAGACGGUGGGCUCUAAUAGUUUCUGUUGUUCUUGAAGCUGGAGAAGUUUGUUGAAGGUCGUCGAGACUCAAGUUGACCAUUGUUGAGUAAAGUUGUUAUAGUCAUCUUUCGUAAUUGAACAAUCGCGAUUGAAGCUCUACCCAGAUUAUGCUCUCUUUCUCAGUGAUUUGACACACUAGUGGGUUGUAUUCAGGAGAAUUUAAAUUGACAAGGACUUGAGAGGUGAGAUCAUUGAGUGUUAUAGAGUGUCUUGCCAAAGCAAGAUUGUCUGUGAUUACUUUGAUGGAUUUUAAGU
rnacentral:lncRNA from 1 species